AAUUUUACCUUACUAUAUUAUUUUAUAAAGUUUUAGAGAAAUAUCUUUAAUUUUAGUAUACUAAAGAAAUAAUUUUAAUAGUGAUAGUUUAUUAGUACUGUGAAGGAAUUUGGUGAAAUAUAAUGAAAAUUUUAUUUUUUGAAAGUAGAUUUAAUUUAUUGUACCUUUUGUAUUAGGGUUAAUCAAAUAUUUUUAAUUUAAUAUUUAAUUUCUCGAUUUCAGAAGAGCUAAUAUAUUAAUUUAUUUAAUGUUUUAUAAUUAUUAAAAAUAUAUAUUAGAGGAGAAAUUCUAUUCGUUUUUAAAGGUAUCUAGUUUUUUAAGAAAUAAAUUUAAUUUAGAUUUAUUAUUUAAUUUAUUUAUUUAUAAAUAAAUUAUUUAUAUAAAAUUAAUGGAAUAGGGGAUAAGCUCUAUUUUAAUUCUAUAAAUAUCUUUAGAUAAUUAAUUUAUGUAGGGUUAAGAACAUCCAUCAUUAACAAGUACGUUAUAGUAUAAAUUAAUUUAAAUUGAUUUUCUUUAUUUUAGAAAUAUAUUAAAAUAUCAGAUUUAAUAAUUUAUUUUUGAGUAAUAAUGAUUAAAUUAGUAUAUAUAUUUAUAAAAAUUUUUAUUAAUUGAGAUGAUUUUAUAAGGAACUCGGCAAGAUAACACUCGCCUGGUUAACAUGAACAUGUCUUCUUGUUAAUAUUUAGGAAGUCUAACCUGCCCGGUGAAAAUUAUUUUAACGGCCGCGGUAUAUUGACCGUGCAAAGGUAGCAUAAUCAUUAGUCUUUUAAUAGAGGGCUGGUAUGAAGGGUUUGACGAGGUGUUGACUGUCUCAUUUAAUUUGAUUUUAGAAAUUAAUUUUUCAGUUAAAAAGCUGAAAUAAUAUUGGAAGACGAGAAGACCCUAUAGAGCUUUAUAGUUGAUUUAUUAAUUUAUUUUUGUUUAUUAUUAUUUAUUAUUAUAUUAACUAUUUUGUUGGGGUGACAAAAAUAUAUAAUUAACUUUUUUAUUAAAUGAACAUUGAUAUAUGAUUUAUUAGAUCCAAUCUUAUUGAUUGAUAGAACAAGUUACCUUAGGGAUAACAGCGUAAUCUCCCUCCAGAGUUCUUAUUUACAGGGAGGCUUGCGACCUCGAUGUUGGAUUAAGAUUAUAAUUAGGUGUAGCCGCUUAAUAAAUAGUCUGUUCGACCUUUAAAUUCUUACAU
rnacentral:rRNA from 1 species